GAUGAACGCUGGUGGCGUGCUUAACACAUGCAAGUCGAACGAAGACAUCUGAGUGCUUGCACUUGGAUGGACUGAGUGGCGGACGGGUGAGUAACGCGUGGGUAACCUGCCUUAUACAGGGGGAUAACAGUUGGAAACGACUGCUAAUACCGCAUAAGCGCACGGUAUCGCAUGAUACAGUGUGAAAAACUCCGGUGGUAUAAGAUGGACCCGCGUCUGAUUAGCUUGUUGGUGAGGUAACGGCCCACCGAGGCGACGAUCAGUAGCCGGCCUGAGAGGGUGAACGGCCACAUUGGGACUGAGACACGGCCCAAACUCCUACGGGAGGCAGCAGUGGGGAAUAUUGCACAAUGGGGGAAACCCUGAUGCAGCGACGCCGCGUGAGUGAUGAAGUAUUUCGGUAUGUAAGACUCUAUCAGCAGGGAAGAUAACGACGGUACCUGACUAAGAAGCACCGGCUAAAUACGUGCCAGCCGCCGCGGUAA
rnacentral:rRNA from 1 species